rnacentral:rRNA from 1 species
UACGUAGGUGACAAGCGUUGUCCGGAUUUACUGGGCGUAAAGAGCGCGCAGGCGGUCGUUCAAGUCGAGUGUGAAAGCCCCGGCUCAACUGGGGAGAGUCAUUCGAUACUGAUCGACUCGAAGGCAGGAGAGGGUAGUGGAAUUCCCGGUGUAGUGGUGAAAUGCGUAGAUAUCGGGAGGAACACCAGUGGCGAAGGCGACUACCUGGCCUGUUCUUGACGCUGAGGCGCGAAAGCUAGGGGAGCAAACGGG